rnacentral:rRNA from 1 species
GGUGGAGCAUGUGGUUUAAUUCGAAGCAACGCGCAGAACCUUACCAGCCUUUGACAUCCUAGGACGACUUCUGGAGACAGAUUUCUUCCCUUCGGGGACCUAGUGACAGGUGCUGCAUGGCUGUCGUCAGCUCGUGUCGUGAGAUGUUGGGUUAAGUCCCGCAACGAGCGCAACCCUCGUCCUUAGUUGCCAUCAUUAAGUUGGGCACUUUAAGGAAACUGCCGGUGAUAAGCCGGAGGAAGGUGGGGAUGACGUCAAGUCCUCAUGGCCCUUACAGGCUGGGCUACACACGUGCUACAAUGGCAUCUACAGUGGGCAGCUAUUCCGCAAGGAUGCGCUAAUCUCCAAAAGAUGUCUCAGUUCGGAUUGUCCUCUGCAACUCGAGGGCAUGAAGGCGGAAUCGCUAGUAAUCGCGGAUCAGCAUGCCGCGGUGAAUACGUUCCCAGGCCUU